rnacentral:rRNA from 1 species
GAUGAAUGCUGGCGGCGUGCCUAAUACAUGCAAGUCGUGCGGCAGCGCGAGUAGUUUACUACUUGGCGGCGAGCGGCGGACGGCUGAGUAACGCGUGGGAACGUGCCCCAAAGUGAGGGAUAAGCCCGAGAAAUCGGGUCUAAUACCGCAUAUGGUCUUCGGAUUAAAGCUUCGGCGCUUUGGGAGCGGCCCGCGUACGAUUAGAUUGUUGGUGAGGUAAUGGCUCACCAAGUCGACGAUCGUUAGCUGGUCUGAGAGGAUGAUCAGCCAGACUGGAACUGAGACACGGUCCAGACUCCUACGGGAGGCAGCAGUAAGGAAUCUUCCGCAAUGGGGGCAACCCUGAUGGAGCAACGCCGCGUGCAGGAUGAAGGCCCUCGGGUCGUAAACUGCUUUUAUGAGUGAAGAAUAUGACGGUAACUCAUGAAUAAGCACCGGCUAACUACGUGCCAGCAGCCGCGGUCAUACGUAGGGUGCAAGCAUUAUCCGGAGUGACUGGGCGUAAAGAGUUGCGUAGGCGGUUAGUAAAGCGAAUAGUGAAACCUGGUGGCUCAACCAUACAGACUAUUAUUCGAACUCACUAACUCGAGAGUGGUAGAGGUAACUGGAAUUUCUUGUGUAGGAGUGAAAUCCGUAGAUAUAAGAAGGAACACCAAUGGCGUAGGCAGGUUACUGGACCAUUUCUGACGCUAAGGCACGAAAGCGUGGGGAGCGAACGGGAUUAGAUACCCCGGUAGUCCACGCCGUAAACGAUGGAUACUAGCUGUUGGAGGUAUCGACCCCUUCAGUAGCGAAGCUAACGCGUUAAGUAUCCCGCCUGUGGAGUACGGCCGCAAGGCUAAAACAUAAAGGAAUUGACGGGGAUCAGCACA